AAAGGGCCCGCAAGAGGCGCUGAACGGAUGAAAUUAAUGCUUGUCCAUUUAAAUUUCCCGCCAAAUGGUGAUUAGUUAACACUACGGUCGCAAGUGGCGAAAGGAACCAAAUUUUUACAGUGAGUUGCCUAUCUAUCCGGUAAUACUAUAUUAUUAAUCUAUGGCUCAUGACAGCGGACAGUAUUAAACGAAAAUUAUCGGUGUGCCAAUCAAGCAAAGGGACAAGGAACUUCCGAAUAUGGCCUAACUGGGGGCACAUAACAUAACCUAAUCCUUAUAUUUACAUUUGUAAAGAAUAUCCUGUUUGUUUUUAUUGUCGAUUGUGCAGCGAAAUUGUGUGCAGCAAAUCAAAUAUAAAGUAGUUUAUCGCCUACAGAACUGAAUUAGUCCAUAGCAGUUAUCAGUUUUUCUUUCUUGGGAAGCUUAUACAUGUAACUUGUAUUGUUGUAAAUUGUGGGAGUAGGGCAGACAGGGAAAAGUCUUAUUUUGUACUGUUCCCAAGGCUCCCCAUGCAAUACAUUUAAAUGAAUUAUCCAAACAAAGCCGGGGACAAUGGAUAAAAGCCACAAGAAGAACAGAUAUAAGGGAACUAAAAUUAAAAUAUGAAAAGUAAACAUUUUAUAAGUGGAACAACCACCAGAUGUUUAAAAGGUAUAAAAAGAAGAAACUGCUGGAAUUUCAAAACAAAUGUGUUUGACUAGUAAAGAUUUGGAUAAAUAACAGGAGUUACUUUGGGCUAUAGCUACGUGCAGAUUUAUUUCCUUGUGGCUUCCUAUGUUAAUUCUUAUUAAUUAUACACUUAAAUAUGUUUUUAGUCUCAGGAAGAUUUUAUAUUUGAUUAUUUUUGAAUAAACAUUAUUAUUAUUAUUACCUUAAUUUCCAUUAAAUAAAUUAACUGUAAUCAAUAAAGUAAUCGUUUAAUUGUUAAUAAAUUAUCAAGUAUGA